UACUUCAUUGUGUCCCUUCUCUCAGGAGUCAGAGCCACACAUUCCCUACUGCCCAGUGUCUGCAAACAGUGCAAACACUCACCUAGUUGUUUACAGCAGGAAGGCACAUCUAGCAGUACCAGUUACUCACUCAGCGUACCAAGGCCUUCUAUUAACAACUUUGUGACUACAUACAAAGUGGGAGAGAGUUAAAUUUAUAAAACGUGGAAGAUUACCCAGUAAUGACAAGAUUAUGUUAAGGAUCAAAAAGACAUUUUUGGGAUGAGGGAUAAAAUGCAGAUUUCUGGGCUGUUUGCAAAUCCAAAGCUGGAGCUGGGGCCAGAGGACUGAAUUAAUUUAAAUAAACUGCACAGGCAAGUAUUUGUCACACUAAAGUUUGAUGCAGAAGUUUUGUUUGUCUUUUAUAUGUUUUAUGGUGUUAUAGGUUGAACCCAUGCUAGGCAAGUGUUCUGCCUCUGAGCUAUAUCCCCUGGCUCCAUCCCUUUUAUUUUUUGUUUUGAGACAGUAUCUUGCUAAGUUGCUCAGUCUGAUUUCAAACUUGUGAUCCUCCUGCCUCAGCCUUCUGAGUAGCUGGGAUUACAGGUAUGUACCUAGAGGCUUGACAAUAAAGUUUAGCUGCGGUGCCACUAAAGACCCCUCUCAGGGCAGGAGUCAUGUGAACAAGUACUUUUGCCUCAUCUCUUUCCAGAGGGGUUUCAAGAAAGAAAAGUAGUCACAAGAGGUCAAAAUAGCAGUUUCGAUGCUCAUCAUUCUUCAGCAUUUUCUUUGCUUUCCAGCCUCAUUUCUUUUUGCUUUCUUUUUUCUUUCUUCCCUUUUAGUUCUAUCCACUAAAUUCCAUUCAGAUUCUAGACUUCUGUGAUUGCCAGUGACCCUGUUAAAGAAGGAGACACGUACCUGGGAUGCCUUCUGCCGGCUACACUGGCAGCUCAGGGAUUGGUAGCUGCUGGCCACACUUGUGAUCUGCCUGUCCUCACAGGUCAUCAGCUGCUCGAGCCAUUGGCUGCACAGAACUGGAGGCCAUGAGGAGGCAGGGUCUCCACUGGGCAUUAACACAGCGGCAUUAGGAGAGAGCUGGUGUGGAAGGAGCACGAGGACUUGCAGCACGCAGAACAGAAAUGAAAACAUCCACCCAAACCAGCAAUCACAGCUUCUAAGGAGCUGCUCAAGCACAGUGCUGCUGACCGCCGCCCUGCCCUGCCCGGGAACAGCACGUCCAUCCAGCCCGUGGUUCCCCUUCUUUUGCAGCAUGGCUCUGACCGCUGUCACAGUUUUUCCAUUCUUCUCCCCACGUGCCAGUAAUGAGGACAGCCUGGCCCCGGUGCUAAUCAGCGAAAAAUCACAAGGGACAAAUCUUCAUAAAGUGGACCUGCCGGAGACCUAGAGACAUGUGCCACUCGCCCCCUGAUUCUGGGAGUGUGGGGACCACUCGAGAACUCCUCCGAGACCACCUCUUUCCCUUGUUCCUUUGGGUGUUUGAAGCCUGUUGCCUACUGCUUUUCCCCUUUUCCCUUUAAAAAAAAUUCUCCAUUUUUUCACUUAGAAAAAAAAAUUAUUUAUACGAUAGAGAUCCACUAAUUAAAGCCAUUUUCUGGUAUUUGGUUACUGGAGCGUUUGAUGUCUCUCUGACAAGACCAUGAAAUGCACAGGGUGUCCACAGGGACAGAAUUUGCUGAACACGGCUCUUUGUAAAUGAGGGGACAUAGUGUCGCAGCAGCUCAUGAAUAUGAAACGCCCAUGAUGCCACCUCAGUGGACUUGGGAACACAGAUGAAUCCUGUCAUGUGCUAAAUGAGACCAAUUUCUUUCACUUAACUUCAUCUUCAAUCAGACCUUCUUCCAUUUGCCUGUUUAAAAUUCCCCAUACGUGAUGCAGAAGGUAACAGCAUUCAGUAAAACAAAGUUUUGCAGCUGCAGAGAAAAAUCAUAAUGAUCUCUGGUUUAAAGUUGCCUUCUCCUAAUAAUAUGGAUGUUGUUUUCUUUCGCUUGUGAGCCCUGCUAAUGUCUGUUGAAUUUGGGCAGAGAGUUAGACUGCUCUUACUGGGGUAUCCCAAAGCAGCAUAUCCACAUUCCUUUCUUGUAGAUUGGCCGUUGAGCUUGGCUAUGAAUAUGAGCCAUUAGCAGCCUGUGAAAGCCCUGCUAUGGCCCGGGCACAGAGUGCUUGGGAAGAAACUAUGGGUAACUGAGCCAGGCUUUUGUGGGUGAGAACUCAGUAGAUGAAGUAAGAGAACCAGAGGUCCGGAAACAUCCUGAGGGAACCUGGUCACUUACUAAGAUGUCCAGUGAGAAAGUGCUGGAAUACAGGACAGACUUCAUGUAGUUCUAGAAACACCCUUCUGGACAUGCACAAAUCCCUGACCAAGACAAUCAGUAAAGGGCUAGAGAUGUAGCUUAGCAGUAGCGUGCUUGUCUAGCAUGCUGCCAUGUGUAAGAUCCAGGGACCAAAAAGAAAAAAAGUCAGCCAAGGGUACAGCCUGCAAGGACACAGGAGAGGGCCUUUGCCUGGGCAGGGGCUAGUCUGAGAGGCCUCCUUUGUUUCUUCCUUCCUGUGGGACUUAAGUGUAUGUUCCAGGAGAAGAGCCUGGGUAAUGUUUGGGGUACAUUCAUGGCAAUCUGGGUCAAGGUAAGAAAUCACUUUGUGCUUUCAGACAGGCAGACAGCUAGAUGGAAAGGCAGGCUAGCACACAAUGUAUCAUGGAGAUUUGGGGCUGCCUAGCUGGAAGAGGCAGCUCAUCUUUUUACUGUCUGGUCACAGGAGCGGAACGGGAUCCCUCUGGGACUUUGCUAGGUAGUUAGCAUUUUAGUCUGCGUACAUGAUGAUAUUAUCCAUGAUGAAUGUAUUUCAGAGUGAAUGACAGCUUCUCACACCUUUGAAACUAGUUGUGAUCAAUCUAUUGGUGUUUCUGUACAUAUUUACUAUUUCUGUUACUUAUUUUGGAACUUAAUUUAUCUCUGUGGCUUCAUCUGGUAGAUCUGCUAGAUGGUGGCAGACUAGUGUUCCCGUAUCAAGAUGAGUUUCUUGUUUGGUGGUCUCUCUUUUUUGAAAUAAAUUCUUAGGGCUAUUUCUGUGCUACCCCUGUUGGGUGCUUUAGAAUGUGGAGAUUGGUGAAGAGCAGUGUGACCCAGCCUCAGGAUGGAUCCAGAUGGUCUAGAGUGGGCCAAAUUUGAAUGACUGUCCCUUUUUCUGUCCCUUUAUCCCCACUUAUCCAUUGCUUCUUGGAUAUGCACAGGCUUUUUCUAGCAGGUGUUGCAAGUGAGGCAGAGUCUUUGCUAUGAUGUCUUUAAAUCCAAAAAGUAUCCAAAGAUCACUCUUUAUUGACCUUGUGGAAUGAAUCCUCUUUAGGCAACCUGAGUACUCAGUAGCACCUCCAGUAUGAUUGGAAUGACAUAUAGGAUGUUGACAUGGCUCUUACGUAUGUGUGCCUUUCACUGUCUCCUUUGAGGGGCAUUGACUGAUUCAGUUCUGCUCAGUGGUCCUGUAUUUUUCCAGCUGUUGGAAUUGCAGAAGGCACUGAGAUAUGUCUUUGUCCUCAGCUAGCUCUCUGUGUAAGGAGCAGGCUUGGGACAGAUUCACUUACUUUGCCUCCUGUAGCAUAGUGAGGGCCAUGCUGUGGCCAUAAGUAAAUUAUGGGCAGAAAAACUUCUGCCCAGUGGGUUCCAAGAUGAUUCAUCAAGGGCUGGGGAUUUAGCUCAGCGGCAAAGCGCCUGCCUGGCAAGCGCAAGGUCGUGAGUUCGGUUCCCGGUAC
ensembl:lincRNA